rnacentral:rRNA from 1 species
UACAGAGGGUGCAAGCGUUAAUCGGAGUUACUGGGCGUAAAGGGCGCGUAGGCGGUCUUUCAGGAGAGAUGUGAAAUCCCCGGGCUUAACCUGGGAACUGCAUCUUUAACCGGGAGGCUGGAGUACUGUAGAGGGCAGUGGAAUUUCCGGUGUAGCGGUGAAAUGCGUAGAGAUCGGAAGGAACACCAGUGGCGAAGGCGACUGUCUGGACAGAUACUGACGCUGAGGCGCGAAAGCGUGGGGAGCAAACAGG